UACGUAGGGUGCGAGCGUUAAUCGGAAUUACUGGGCGUAAAGCGUGCGCAGGCGGUUCGUUGUGUCGGCGGUGAAAGCCCCGGGCUUAACCUGGGAAUGGCCGUUGAAACUGGCGAACUGGAGUGUGGCAGAGGGGGGUGGAAUUCCGCGUGUAGCAGUGAAAUGCGUAGAGAUGCGGAGGAACACCGAUGGCGACGGCAGCCCCCUGGGCUAACACUGACGCUCAGGCACGAAAGCGUGGGGAGCAAACAGG
rnacentral:rRNA from 1 species